GACGACGCUGGCGGCGUGCUUAACACAUGCAAGUCGAACGGACGAGUGAGAUAAGUUUACUUAACUCACAAGUUAGUGGCGGACGGGUGAGUAACACGUGGAUAAUCUACCUGCAACACCGGGAUAACGCUGUGAAAACGGUGCUAAUACCGGAUACGUUCCCUUGUGCGCAUGUAUGAGGGAAGAAAGCUCAGGCGGUUGCAGAUGAGUCCGCGGCUGAUUAGCUAGUUGGUGAGGUAAAGGCUCACCAAGGCGAUGAUCAGUAGCCGGCCUGAGAGGGUGAACGGCCACACUGGGACUGAGACACGGCCCAGACUCCUACGGGAGGCAGCAGUGGGGAAUCUUCCGCAAUGGGCGCAAGCCUGACGGAGCAACGCCGCGUGGGUGAAGAAGGCCUUCGGGUUGUAAACUGCUUUUGUACGGAACGAAACGGUGAGCUCUAAUAAAGCUUGCUAAUGACGGUACCGUAAGAAUAAGCACCGGCUAACUACGUG
rnacentral:rRNA from 1 species